AAUAAUCAACAUCCAUCAACAUUGAGUUUUGUCGCAUGGCAACAUUAGCUAAUGGGGACCUUUUUCCAUGAAGAAAAUGUCAAGACCAAGGCCAGGUUUUCCAUCUCUGCCAUCCUUUGAAAGCAUCUCACGGCAUCCUCCCCGCCCUCCGGGUCUCCUGUCUUCUGUGUCCUUCCCCCCUGGCGUCCCC